rnacentral:sRNA from 21 species
GUCAACUACCCACUGACGGUUGAUGUCGAUCAGUGGGCUUGUAUAAACAAUCCCACAAGCCCGGGUGACUCGUCUCUCAGCCAUCAACUGAAAGGCUGGUUAGGUUACGUUACCAGUGAAUAUUUAGGUAUUUCGGAAUGAUCCACUUCGAUUAAAAUUGAUCGAAAAAUUUCGAACCCUGCG